rnacentral:lncRNA from 1 species
GCUCUGUUGUGGACAUUGAGAGCUUCACUAGUACCAGACAAUGACAAACUGUCAUUUUAAGGUGGAAUACCAAUUUUCAUUCCCUUUAGUAGUGCAGAAAAGUUCUUGUUUUUACACAUCAAGGCCAAUAUUUGGCAUUUUUUAACUAAAAAAUUUCCCACUCUGAAGAAUAUGAAAUAUUUUUGUAUUUUUUGCAUUUUUGUUAGUGAAGUUAAUAUUUUCAUGUUUUAGACUACGCAGUUUCCUCUUUGUGAACUUCCUGUUCAUAUCCUUUUCCCAUUCUUCUAUUAGUUCACUUUGCCUUUGUUUUAUUGUAUUUCAAUAUCUCAUACACUAAUUCCUUAUUGGUUAUAUUUAUUAUUAAGAUUUUCUCCCACUCUAUACUUUUCCUUUUUUUCCUUUUUUUUUUUUUUUUUUUUGCUUACACCACAGGGCAUGCAUGCAGGAUCCUAGUUCCCCCACGAGGGAUCAAACCCCGACUCCUGCAGUGAAGCGCAGUGUCUUAACCACUGGACCGCCAGGGUAAGUCCCCAUAGUAUAUACAUUUGUAUGAUACAAAGGUGUUUGCUUAACCUGCUUGAAUUUAUAAAUAUUUUCCUUUGUAACUUAUGCCUUUUGUAUCUUAGUUAAGGACACAAACAUCACCCAGAGAUCAUACAGAUAUUCUAUAUAUUCUUUUUCUAAAUACUUUAAGAUUUACUUUUCAUAAAUAGAUUUUAAUCCACCUGGAAUUUAUUCUUUAAUGGAUUGAUAUUUUCUAAUAUUUUCCCUUUGGAUAUUAAUAAUCAUAUUUGAACCCCAUGUAUUGAAUGUUCAUCCUUUCUCCACCAAUUUUUAAAUUGCGGUAUGCUGCUGCUGCUAAGUCACUUCAGUCGUGUCCGACUCUGUGCGACCCCACAGACGGCAGCCCACCAGGCUCCCCUGUCCCUGGGAUUCUCCAGGCAAGAACACUGGAGUGGGGUGCCAUUGCCUUCUCCGAAAUUGCGGUAUGGUUGACAUUAAUUCAGUCAAUACAGAACACUUCUAUCACAAAGAUCUCUCAAGUUGCCUUUUACAGUCGUAUUUCCUUUCCACCCACCCCCACUUCUUCUUUAAUAUCAGGCAAUUGCUGGUCUGUUCUACAUGUCUAUAAUCUUUGCAUUUCAAGAAUAUUACAUACAGUUCCGGCAGGGAGUGCGGUGAGAAGCGGAUGGCGGCCUUCAACCCGGAGGUCCUCUGGCCUCCGGUGGGCAGCCUAA